rnacentral:rRNA from 1 species
AAGCGCUUGCAACCAGACUUGCACUUGGUCGAUCAUCCGGGGUUCUCCCCGGUGCACUCGAUCUCGUUCAGGCCAGCAUCGGUUUAGGUGGUGGGAUAAAGGCCUUGGGAAUGUAGCUUCUUUCGGGGAGUGUUAUAGCCC